rnacentral:rRNA from 1 species
UACAGAGGUCUCAAGCGUUGUUCGGAAUCACUGGGCGUAAAGGGUGCGUAGGCGGCGUGGAAAGUCAGAUGUGAAAUCCGGGGGCUCAACCUCCGAAUUGCAUCCGAUACUACCAUGCUAGAGAACUGGAGGGGAGUCUGGAAUUCUUGGUGUAGCAGUGAAAUGCAUAGAUAUCAAGAGGAACACUAGUGGCGAAGGCGAGACUCUGGACAGUAUCUGACGCUCAUGCACGAAGGUCAGGGUAGCGAACGGGAUUAGAAACCCUAGUAGUCC